UUGCUGCGUCCGCUGUUUUAAAAGAUAGACCAUUGCUUUAAGAAUAUUGCUUUAAGAACAUUGAAGGUUGGUUGCAAUAAGUAUACGUUGAAAUCGGAACGUUCCAAUAAUAGAACGUUGAAAUCUAAUCGGUUCCAUUCAAAACGCUGUAAUUUAUAGAAGGUGAGAAUUGGGAUUUUAAAAUAAGAGCGUCGCAAUUAGAACGCUGAAUUUAGAACGUUGCAAUUAGACUCUCUCGAUUAGAACGAUGGAUUCAGAAGGUUGCUUUGAAUUAAGAGCGUUAGAAACAACACCUUUAUAGCGUUAGAAAGAAGCCUAGAAUAUAAGAGCGAUAGAAUUCGAAUCUUGAAAUUAUACCGAAUGCUAUAAAUGGAACCGAUUGGAGAUAGAGUUAGAACUAUAAGAGCGUUCAAAUUAUUAGAACGAUGCAUGGAAUUCGAACGUGGCAAAUGAAGUGUUGAAUUCGAAUCUUGAAAUUUAUAUACAGAAUGUUGAUAUAAAUGCAUGGAUGUUGCGUAUAUAGAUCUUAGAACUAAGAACGUUCCAAUUCCAGAACGAUGCA